AGUCUGACGGAGCAACGCCGCGUGAGUGACGAAGGUUUUCGGAUCGUAAAACUCUGUUGUGAGGGAAGAACAAGUACCAAGUAACUACUGGUACCUUGACGGUACCUCACCAGAAAGCCACGGCUAACUACGUGCCAGCAGCCGCGGUAAUACGUAGGUGGCAAGCGUUGUCCGGAAUUAUUGGGCGUAAAGCGCGCGCAGGCGGUCCCUUAAGUCUGAUGUGAAAGCCCACGGCUCAACCGUGGAGGGUCAUUGGAAACUGGGGGACUUGAGUGCAGAAGAGGAAAGUGGAAUUCCACGUGUAGCGGUGAAAUGCGUAGAGAUGUGGAGGAACACCAGUGGCGAAGGCGACUUUCUGGUCUGUAACUGACGCUGAGGCGCGAAAGCGUGGGGAGCAAACAGGAUUAGAUACCCUGGUAGUCCACGCCGUAAACGAUGAGUGCUAAGUGUUAGGGGGUUUCCGCCCCUUAGUGCUGCAGCUAACGCAUUAAGCACUCCGCCUGGG
rnacentral:rRNA from 4 species